rnacentral:lncRNA from 1 species
CUACUUUGGACCUCUAUAACUUGAUGAUCGUGUAACUUUUAUGUGAUCUAUCAAUUCCAGUGUGUAGACAACAUGUAGGAAUAAAACUAUAACACUUAAAAUCAUCAUAAAAACAAUAAAUCAUGCAGAUAAAGUAUGGUCAAACCUUGUCAGAAAAAUUAACACUUAGAAAAUUCUGGGCUGCCCAGAAUUUUCUGGUCAAUGCCGGUCAACCCACUUUGACCUUAAAUAACUCUUGAUCCGUAAUAUAUAUGGACCUGAUUCUUUUUGGAGGUUAAAUACCACAUAACAAGCUACACAUAUCAACCUUUAGAACACAAAACACAUUAAAGAUGACCGAGAUAUAAGGUCUGACAUUUGCCAAAAAAGAAUUUCUGGACACUUAGAAUAUUUUUUGGGUUUGAAAAACAGCUGGUCAAUGCCGGUCAACCCAUUUUGACCGCUUAUAAAUCCCGAUCUAAAAUAGAUAUAGACCUGAUUCCUUUUGGAGUUUAAAGACCACAUAACAAGCUAUAACCAACAACUUUUAAACAACAAAAACAGUAAAUAAUCACAGAGAUAUAAGUCUUGACAUUUGCCCAAAAAUCACAGAAUUCGGUUUUUCCAACUUGCUCAAAUCUUCAAAUUCGUGCACUUUGAUGUUAUGGGUUCAUGAUUUUACAACCCAGAACAUUAAUAGACUCCCUAUUACACUACUUUAAACAAUCAAUUGCAUCAAUUAACAUCGAAUCGAAGGAUUUC